GUGCAUUUCCCACCCCAAGGAAGGAAGAAUAAUUAGCCUUCAUGGACUCCACCUGCGGCGCUGCCACGUGGCAUGAAUUUGCUCAUUUUCCAAGGUCAGGCCACAGCACAGUAGCAAUUUGAAAAUUCAGGUCUGGAACUUGAAACAGUAGCAUUAGUAAUCAUAAACAUGGAAGAAAACCAUGAAGCCAUGACACCUUCUGGAAGAGAGAAAAGUAGGAGCUGAGUUGACAACCCAGUGAGCUUCUCAGACAACAAAGCAGUGGUGUGUUGCAUACCCCAUGCAACACCGUAUCAUCAAAAUAGAACAAAGAUAAAGAGCCUCAGGACAGGCAGUGACCUGUAAGCAAGGCAUGAACACAAUUAUGUUCCACGCAAAAAAUUAAAAACCUAAAAUGCC